ACCAAACAGCUAGCUUAAUUAUUAUACUAACAAAAAAUAUUAAUAAUAAGUAACUAACCUCCAACCAAUAAAUUAAAUCAUUCUAAAUAUCGUAGUAUGGGCGACAGAAGAUUCAACAAAUCAAUACAAAAAGUACCGCAAGGGAAAGCUGUAAGAGAAACUAAAUAGCCCAUAUAAUGUAUUAAGCCGCAGAGCUUAACCCUCGUACCUAAUUAGCAUGAUGAUAUAGGCAGAAUAAUAAAGGGAAAGAUACGUUUAGUAGUACAGGAUCCGAAACCUGGUGAGCUACCGACACAUCCUAAUCAUUUUGGGGAAACUCAUCUGCGUGGCAUUAACAGUGAGAGCAUCGCGGGUACAAGUGACAGGUCUACCCAACCUGGUCAUACCUGUUGUGUUAGAAAAGGAAUACAAGAUCAGCCACGUAUUCACGGCAAAUUUAAAAUUUAUAAGUAAAAUAUAGAGCAUCAUACGAAUGUUAGUUAAAAGGGCUACAGCCCUUUUAACACAGGAUACAGGACUUUAAAGGAGAAUAAAGCUCAUAAUAUACAAAACAUAAUGUCGUAGUGGGCCUAAGAGCAGCCAUCUAAAUAAAAAGCGUUAAAGCUUAAACAAAAACAGUUCAUAAUACUGAUAAAAAAUCUUACUUCCCUUAAAGUACUAGACCAAUCCAUGCACCCAUGGAAGAAAGUAUGCUAAAAUGAGUAACAAGAAGAACACAACCAUCUCCCCGCUUGAGUGUAAGUUGGAUUGGACCAACCACUAACAAUUAACGAACCCAAUAAAAGAGGGAAUUGUGAAUAUCAAACUAAUUAAGAUCGCACAACCAAUAAUCCUCCUCCCGACACAGGUAUCCAUAACAAGGAUUCGACUGAAAGGAAGGGAUGGAAGUCGCAAACUCAUGCGUCCCCUGUACCAAAAACACCGCGUCCGCCAAUAACAAAUAAAGGACGUCCGGCCUGCCCUGUGAGUUCAAGUUCAACGGCCGCCGUAUUCUGACGGUGCAAAGCUAGCGCAAUCGCUCGUCGUUAAAAAAGGUCCUGUAUGUAUGGCAAGACGAUGGCUUGACUGUCUCGCCCUUGAGGUCAGUGAAAUUGAUCUAUCCGUGCAGCUGCGGAUAUAUUAUACAAGACCCAGAAGACCCUUUGGGGCUUUAGGUACAAGACUUAGCUUACGUUAAAUAAUCUUCAAAGCACAUAGCUUAGUGAAAAUAACUUUACCUUCGCUUGGGCCGACCGUAGAGGAAAAGAAGCCUCGAAGUGGAUAGGGUUCAACCCAGAAACUAAGAAAAACAAUUGUACGACACAGAACUCUGACCAUAAUGAUGCGGCUUAUAAGUCGAUCAACGAACCUAGUUGCCCUAGGGAUAACAGCGCAAUCCUCUCCCAGAGUCCAUAUCGACGAGGGGGUUUACGCUCUCGAUGAUGGUUCAGGAGAUCCUAUGGUGCGGCCGCUGUUAAGGGAUCGUUUGUUCACGAUUAGAGUCCUAGGUGAUCUGUUCAGAGCGGAGUAUUCCAGGUCAGUUUCUAUCUGUAACGCUACUUUUCCUAGUACGAAAGGAUCGGAAAAGAGGGGCCCAUACUUAAAGCACGCCCCACCCCUAAUUAAUGAAAACAAAUAAAUUAAAUAAAGGGAGGGCCAAAACCCCAACCAUCCGAAAUAAGGACAU
rnacentral:rRNA from 1 species